rnacentral:rRNA from 1 species
GUUAAUAUGUACUACUAGAACUACAGCCGCGUGUUUGUGCUUCAGCAAGUUAGAUAUCAAAGGCCCUCUCCAUCGAGCGUAGGCAUCUGCAUACGAAACUGCUGAAGUAGAGUACGGUGGAGGGUAGUUUCAAUCUUCAGCGUAGCGAUGAGAUGAGUUAGAGAUAGGAAAGCAACAGCGGAGGGGACGCCCCCCGCCUGGACUGAUACCUACAUUGAGAUACGAAGGGGGGGGGAACCAAACAGGAUUCCCUAGCCUGGUAGUCCCACGCAGUAAAUGAUGUCGACUAGCUGUUGCCAUCCUUAAGAUUUUAGCGCAGCAGCCGAUACGAUAAGUCGCCCGCGUGGGGAGUACGGCCGCAAGAAAAAAAACUCAAAUGAAUUGAGGGGGGCCCGAACAGGCGGUGGAGCAUGUGGAUUAAUUAGAACCAACAAGAACAUCCUUACUUGUCCUUAACAUGAUGAGAACUUUCCAGAGAUGGAUUGCUUCCUUCGGGAACUCAGACACAGGUGCUGCAUGGCUGUCGUCAGCUCGUGUCGGAAGAUGUGGGAUUAAGUCCCGUAACGAGCGCAACCCUCGUCCUUAGUUACCAGCACGUCGGGUGGGCACUCUAAGGAGACUGCCGGUGACAAACCGGAGGAAGGUGGGGAUGACGUCAAGUCAUCAUCGCCCUUACGGCCAGGGCUACACACGUGCUACAAUGGUCGGUACAAAGGGUUGCCAAGCCGCGAGGUGGAGAUAAUCCCAUAAAACCGAUCGUAGUCCGGAUCGCAGUCUGCAACUCGACUGCAGAAGUCGGAAUCGCUAGUAAUCGUGAAUCAGAAUGUCACGGUGAAUACGUUUUCCGGGCCUUGUACACACCCCCCGUCACCCC